GAGAAGGACUAAACUGAAAUUUUGGCUUGGUUGAUGGGAGUAUGAUUGGUAUGGUUUGAUGUGUUUAAAGGGAAUUAAAGAUGUUAAUAAACUUACAUUAGUAUGGUGUUAAGAUGGAAAUGCACCAAUUGUGAUUGAAUGAGUGAGUUAGGGUUUCAAUGCUAGGGUUUGUGAACCAAGAUUUGGAGAAAUGCAUAAAUGGCA
rnacentral:misc_RNA from 1 species